UACGUAGGGUGCAAGCGUUAAUCGGAAUUACUGGGCGUAAAGCGUGCGCAGGCGGUUUUGUAAGUCUGACGUGAAAUCCCCGGGCUCAACCUGGGAAUUGCGUUGGAGACUGCAAGGCUGGAGUCUGGCAGAGGGGGGUAGAAUUCCACGUGUAGCAGUGAAAUGCGUAGAGAUGUGGAGGAACGACCGAUGGCGCAAGGCAGCCCCCUGGGUCAGACUGACGC
rnacentral:rRNA from 1 species